rnacentral:tRNA from 1 species
GGGGCCUUAGCUCAGGGGUUUAGAGCGUGAGAUUGCAGAUCCCAAGGUCGUUGGUUCGAUUCCGACAGGCCCCU